rnacentral:rRNA from 1 species
GACGAACGCUGGCGGCGCGCCUAACACAUGCAAGUCGCACGAGAAAGGGCUUCGGCCCCGGUACAGUGGCGCACGGGUGAGUAACACGUAGGUAAUCUGCCCUUGGGUGGUGGAUAACCCUCCGAAAGGAGGGCUAAUACAGCAUGAGACCACGGCAUCCACGGAUGCUGCGGCCAAAGUAGGCCUCUCUAAAGAAGCUUAACGCCAGAGGAUGAACCUGCGGCCCAUCAGCUUGUUGGUAAGGUAACGGCUUACCAAGGCAAAGACGGGUAGCUGGUCUGAGAGGAUGAACAGCCACACUGGAACUGAGACACGGUCCAGACUCCUACGGGAGGCAG